GAUGAAGAACGUAGCGAAAUGCGAUAAGUAAUGUGAAUUGCAGAAUUCAGUGAAUCAUCGAAUCUUUGAACGCACAUUGCGCCCGCCAGUAUUCUGGCGGGCAUGCCUGUUCGAGCGUCAUUACAACCCUCAGGCCCCCGGGCCUGGCGUUGGGGAUCGGCGGAAGCCCCCUGCGGGCACAACGCCGUCCCCCAAAUACAGUGGCGGUCCCGCCGCAGCUUCCAUUGCGUAGUAGCUAACACCUCGCAACUGGAGCGCGGCGCGGCCACGCCGUAAAACACCCAACUUCUGAAUGUUGACCUCGAAUCAGGUAGGAAUACCCGCUGAACUUAAGCAUAUCAAUAAGCGGAGGA
rnacentral:misc_RNA from 1 species